rnacentral:rRNA from 1 species
AGUGAACGCUGGCGGCAGGCCUAACACAUGCAAGUCGAGCGGCAGCGCGGGGCAACCUGGCGGCGAGCGGCGGACGGGUGAGGAAUGCAUCGGAAUCUACCCUGUCGUGGGGGAUAACGUAGGGAAACUUACGCUAAUACCGCAUACGACCGAGAGGUGAAAGUGGGGGACCUUCGGGCCUCACGCGAUUGGAUGAGCCGAUGCCGGAUUAGCUAGUUGGUGGGUAAAGGCCCACCAAGGCGACGAUCCGUAGCUGGUCUGAGAGGAUGAUCAGCCACAUUGGGACUGAGACACGGCCCAAACUCCUACGGGAGGCAGCAGUGGGGAAUAUUGGACAAUGGGCGCAAGCCUGAUCCAGCCAUGCCGCGUGUGUGAAGAAGGCCUCGGUUGUAAGCACUUUGUUCGGGUAGAAAUACGUACGGAGUUAAUACUUU